UAAAAGGCUUUGCUGAGUUGUGGACC
rnacentral:piRNA from 1 species